UACGUAGGGUGCAAGCGUUAAUCGGAAUUACUGGGCGUAAAGCGUGCGCGGGCGGUUAUGCAAGACAGAUGUGAAAUCCCCGGGCUCAACCUGGGAACUGCAUUUGUGACUGCAUGGCUAGAGUACGGCAGAGGGGGGAUGGAAUUCCGCGUGUAGCAGUGAAAUGCGUAGAUAUGCGGAGGAACACCGAUGGCGAAGGCAAUCCCCUGGGCCUGUACUGACGCUCAUGCACGAAAGCGUGGGGAGCAAACAGG
rnacentral:rRNA from 1 species